rnacentral:rRNA from 1 species
AUUAUUAGUAAAAUCUGCUCAAUGUACAAAUCAAUAGCCGCAAAUUAUGUGCUAAGGUAGCAAAAUCAUUUGUCUCUUAAUUAGAGACUAGAAUGAACGAUUUAACGUUUGAGUCACUUUUUAAUUUUAAAAAUUUAAAAUUUUUUUAACUAUAAAAAUAUAGUUAUCCAUCAGAAAGACGACAAGACCCUAUUGAACUUAACUUCAGUUUAACUGGGGCAGUUAACCAAUUAACAUUUUAGUAND